UUAUGGCGGAAUACAGCUCAUUCAAUGCUAUCUUAGUGCCAGCCUCUGACUGUGGUGGUAUGUAAACAGCAUCAAGGAAUAUAGAUGAAAACUCUCUUGGUAGGUAGUGUGGUCUGCAGCUUAUCAUGAGAAACUCUACCUCAGGCGAGCAAUAGCGUGAGACUUCCUUAGAUAUCGUGCACCAGCUCUUGUUUACAAAAAUACAUAGACCACCGCCACUUGUCUUACCAGACGCUGCUGUUGUAUCCUGCCGGUACAAUGUAUAACCAAGCCAGCUGUAUGUUGAUAUUGUCCUCGUUCAGCCAUGACUCCGUGAAGCAUAAGAUGUUACCAUUUUUAAUGUCCUGUUGGUAGUUUAAUCUUCCCAGUAACUCGUCCAUUUUAUUGUCCAAAGAUUGCAUGUUUGCUAGCAGAAUUGAGGGGAGUGGGGGUUUAUUUGAUUGCUUCCAACUCCUCAGAAGGCAGCCCGCUCUCCGGCCUCUCUUUCUCCACCUCCUCUUCACGCAGAUCACUGGAGUCGGUGUCUGUUCCCAAGGGAGCCGUAUAUCCUCCGCCUCGGACUCGUCAGAGUCGUGAAAGAAGAAAAAGGAUUCUGCUAGUACGUGCCCUAGGACCAUGCUUCAGGACUACCUGGCCUGAUGACUCCUUGCUGUCCCCAGUCCACCUGGCCGUGCUGCUGCUUCAGUUUCAACUGAUCUGCCGUCAGCUAUGGAACCCUGACCUGUUCACCGGAUGUGCUACCUGUUCGAGGACCUUCUGUUUUAAACUCUCUAGAGACAGCAAGAGUGGUAGAGAUGCGCUGAAUGAUCGGCUAUGAAAAGCCAACUGACAUUUACUCCCGAGGUGCUGACCUGUUGUACCCUCUACAACCACUGUGAUUAUUGUUUUUUGACCCUGCUGGUCAUCUAUGAACAUUUGAACAUCUUGGCCAUGUUCUGUUAUAAUCUCCACCCGGCACAGCCAGAAGAGGACUGGCCACCCCUCAUAGCCUGGUUCCUCUGUAGGUGUCUUCCUAGGUUCUGGCCUUUCUAGGGAGUUUUUCCUAGCCACCAUGCUUCUACACCUGCAUUGCUUGCUGUUUGGGGUUUAAGGCUGGGUUUCUGUACAACAAUUUGUGACAUCAGCUCAUGUAAGAAGGGCUUUAUAAAUACAUUUGAAUGAUUGA